GGGACUGGCGGCGUGCUAUACAUGCAAGUCGAGCGAACUGAUUAGAAGCUUGCUUCUAUGACGUUAGCGGCGGACGGGUGAGUAACACGUGGGCAACCUGCCUGUAAGACUGGGAUAACUUCGGGAAACCGAGGCUAAUACCGGAUAGGAUCUUCUCCUUCAUGGGAGAUGAUUGAAAGAUGGUUUCGGCUGUCACUUACAGAUGGGCCCGCGGCGCAUUAGCUAGUUGGUGAGGUAACGGCUCACCAAGGCAACGAUGCAUAGCCGACCUGAGAGGGUGAUCGGCCACACUGGGACUGAGACACGGCCCAGACUCCUACGGGAGGCAGCAGUAGGGAAUCUUCCGCAAUGGACGAAAGUCUGACGGAGCAACGCCGCGUGAGUGAUGAAGGCUUUCGGGUCGUAAAACUCUGUUGUUAGGGAAGAACAAGUACAAGAGUAACUGCUUGUACCUUGACGGUACCUAACCAGAAAGCCACGGCUAACUACGUGCCAGCAGCCGCGGUAAUACGUAGGUGGCAAGCGUUAUCCGGAAUUAUUGGGCGUAAAGCGCGCGCAGGCGGUUUCUUAAGUCUGAUGUGAAAGCCCACGGCUCAACCGUGGAGGGUCAUUGGAAACUGGGGAACUUGAGUGCAGAAGAGAAAAGCGGAAUUCCACGUGUAGCGGUGAAAUGCGUAGAGAUGUGGAGGAACACCAGUGGCGAAGGCGGCUUUUUGGUCUGUAACUGACACUGAGGCGCGAAAGCGUGGGGAGCAAA
rnacentral:rRNA from 1 species